rnacentral:rRNA from 1 species
UGACGAGGGGGGGCAAGCGUUGUUCGAAAAUUAUUGGGCGUAAAGGGUGCGUAGGCGGUCUGAUAAGUCAUCUGUGAAAUCUAUGGGCUCAACCCAUAGUCUGCAGGCGAAACUGUCGGGCUUGAGUAUGGGAGAGGUGAGUGGAAUUUCCGGUGUAGCGGUGAAAUGCGUAGAUAUCGGAAGGAACACCUGUGGCGAAAGCGGCUCACUGGACCAUUACUGACGCUGAUGCACGAAAGCUAGGGGAGCAAACAGG